rnacentral:rRNA from 1 species
CUCCGGUUGAUCCCGCCGGACCCGACUGCUAUCAGAGUGGGACUAAGCCAUGCGAGUCAACAUAGCAAUAUGUGGCAUACGGCUCAGUAACACGUAGUCAACAUGCCCAGGGGACGUGGAUAACCUCGGGAAACUGAGGAUAAACCGCGAUAGGUCAUCACUUCUGGAAUGGGUAAUGACUUAAAUCUAUAUGGCCCCUGGAUUGGACUGCGGCCGAUCAGGCUGUUGGUGAGGUAAUGGCCCACCAAACCUGUAACCGGUACGGGCUCUGAGAGGAGGAGCCCGGAGAUGGGCACUGAGACAAGGGCCCAGGCCCUAUGGGGCGCAGCAGGCGCGAAACCUCUGCAAUAGGCGAAAGCUUGACAGGGUUACUCUGAGUGAUUUCCGUUAAGGAGAUCUUUUGGCACCUCUAAAAAUGGUGCAGAAUAAGGGGUGGGCAAGUCUGGUGUCAGCCGCCGCGGUAAUACCAGCACCCCGAGUGGUCGGGACGUUUAUUGGGCCUAAAGCAUCCGUAGCCGGUUCUACAAGUCUUCCGUUAAAUCCACCUGCUUAACAGAUGGGCUGCGGAAGAUACUAUAGAGCUAGGAGGCGGGAGAGGCAAGCGGUACUCGAUGGGUAGGGGUAAAAUCCGUUGAUCCAUUGAAGACCACCAGUGGCGAAGGCGGCUUGCCAGAACGCGCUCGACGGUGAGGGAUGAAAGCUGGGGGAGCAAACCGGAUUAGAUACCCGGGUAGUCCCAGCUGUAAACGAUGCAGACUCGGUGAUGAGUUGGCUUAUUGCUAACUCAGUGCCGCAGGGAAGCCGUUAAGUUUGCCGCCUGGGGAGUACGGUCGCAAGACUGAAACUUAAAGAAUUGGCGGGGGAGCA